UGGAAUUGCAAAGGGGCCUCAAAUAGCCAAC
rnacentral:piRNA from 1 species